CGAAAGCGUGGGGAGCGAAACAGGAUUAGAUACCCUGGUAGUCCACGCCGUAAACGAUGGAUACUAGCUGUUCGGAGCAAUCUGAGUGGCUAAGCGAAAGUGAUAAGUAUCCCACCUGGGGAGUACGCACGCAAGUGUGAAACUCAUAGGAAUUGACGGGGGCCCGCACAAGCGGAGGAGCAUGUGGUUUAAUUCGAUGAUACGCGAGGAACCUUACCAGGGCUUAAAUGGGAGACGACAGUUUGGGAAACCAGAUUUUCUUCGGACGUCUUUCAAGGUGCUGCAUGGUUGUCGUCAGCUCGUGCCGUGAGGUGUCAGGUUAAGUCCUAUAACGAGCGCAACCCCUAUUGUUAGUUGCCAGCGGGUCAUGCCGGGAACUCUAACAAGACUGCCGGUGCAAACCGUGAGGAAGGUGGGGAUGACGUCAAAUCAUCACGGCCCUUACGUCCUGGGCUACACACGUGCUACAAUGGACGGUACAGAGAGCAGCCACUGCGCAAGCAGGAGCGAAUCUUCAAAGCCGUUCUCAGUUCGGAUCGGAGUCUGCAACUCGACUCCGUGAAGCUGGAUUCGCUAGUAAUCGCAUAUCAGCCAUGAUGCGGUGAAUACGUUCCCGGGCCUCGUACACACCGCCCGUCAAGCCAUGGAAGCUGGGGGUACCUGAAGUCGGUGACCGCAAGGAGCUGCCUAGGGUAAAACUAGUAACUGGGGCUAAGUCGUAACAAGGUAC
rnacentral:rRNA from 1 species